rnacentral:rRNA from 1 species
GACGAACGCUGGCGGCGUGCUUAACACAUGCAAGUCGAACGGAAAGGCCUCUUUCGGGGGGUACUCGAGUGGCGAACGGGUGAGUAACACGUGAGUAACCUGCCCUUGACUUUGGGAUAACUUCAGGAAACUGGGGCUAAUACCGGCUAGGAGCUCCUGCUGCAUGGUGGGGGUUGGAAAGUUUCGGCGGUUGGGGAUGGACUCGCGGCGUAUCAGCUUGUUGGUGGGGUAGUGGCUUACCAAGGCUUUGACGGGUAGCCGGCCUGAGAGGGUGACCGGCCACAUUGGGACUGAGAUACGGCCCAGACUCCUACGGGAGGCAGCAGUGGGGAAUAUUGCACAAUGGGUGGAAGCCUGAUGCAGCAACGCCGUGUGCGGGAUGACGGCCUUCGGGUUGUAAACCGCUUUCGCUCAUGACGAAGCUUUGUGUGACGGUAGUGGGUAAAGAAGCACCGGCUAACUACGUG